ACACGCAUUUGGGUUUUCUUCACAAUUAAUGUAAUAAUUUUCAGUAAAAAUUAAAAAACAAACGACAAUAAUCAUCAGAAAGUGUACCAAAGUUGCUGCUUUAUAGUAGAAAAUGCCCGUAAGUUGUUUAAAAGCUCAAGUGAAAGAAAAAAUACAGUUUCAUAUUCGAAGAGGGUCUCUUCUACUGUCCGAUGAACAGGCUUCACUCUCAUCAGUCAAUAAUCUCAAUUAUACUGGAUUAGAUCAUCAACCGGCAAUGGUGUCAGAAAACAAAUUAAAGAUAAGAAAACAUCGAUGAUUAAUAGGUGGGAGGUUUUUGUGAUCGAUCGAUCGAUAAGUGCAGUUUUAAAUUCGCUCCGCGAAAAGUUAGUGUGCGUUUUUCGCGGUCGGUUAAGUGCGGUAGUGCGGGAGUGAACGUUCGAUUUUGAUGAAUAAUAUUAGACAUCAGUAAAGGACUGAUGGAACCUGUAGGAAGGAUAAUGAAGCAACACCAAACAAAGUUUGUAGAAAUAGAGAGCCUUCGAGAGGGUAAGUGAAUUUUCCUUUUUUAUAUUUCUUUCAGGACCAGUACAUUCAUACAUAUGAAAAGGUUCUCCGAAAAUUUUUCUAAAGCACUGGGAAUAAUUACAAUACAAAUAUUAAUUGUUCUUGUGGUUGGAUUACUGAAAUGUGCCACUUAUGUACCGUACAUAUACGUAAAACACAAUAUAAGGCGUUAUUAUGAUUAAAACACGAUAUUUUAAUGAUAAAAAGUAAUGGG